rnacentral:rRNA from 1 species
CCGGCACGGGUGAGUAACACGUAUGCAAUCCACCUGUAACAGGGGGAUAACCCGGAGAAAUCCGGACUAAUACCCCAUAAUAUGGGCGCUCCGCAUGGAGAGCCCAUUAAAGAGAGCAAUUUUGGUUACAGACGAGCAUGCGCUCCAUUAGCCAGUUGGCGGGUAACGGCCCACCAAAGCGACGAUGGAUAGGGGUCCUGAGAGGAAGGUCCCCCACAUUGGAACUGAGACACGGUCCAA